rnacentral:rRNA from 1 species
AGGACGAACGCUGGCGGCGUGCCUAACACAUGCAAGUCGAACGGAGUUGAGGAGCUUGCUCCUUAACUUAGUGGCGGACGGGUGAGUAACGCGUGAGUAACCUGCCUCUGAGAGGGGAAUAACGUUCUGAAAAGAACGCUAAUACCGCAUGACACAUAUUUGCCGCAUGACAGAUAUGUCAAAGAUUUUUAUCGCUCAGAGAUGGACUCGCGUCCGAUUAGUUAGUUGGUGAGGUAACGGCUCACCAAGACCGCGAUCGGUAGCCGGACUGAGAGGUUGAACGGCCACAUUGGGACUGAGACACGGCCCAGACUCCUACGGGAGGCAGCAGUGGGGGAUAUUGCGCAAUGGGGGCAACCCUGACGCAGCAACGCCGCGUGAAGGAUGAAGGUUUUCGGAUUGUAAACUUCUUUUCUCAGGGACGAAAUUUGACGGUACCUGAGGAAUAAGCUCCGGCUAACUACGUGCCAGCAGCUGC